AUUGAACGCUGGCGGCAGGCCUAACACAUGCAAGUCGAGCGGUGCGGCGGACGGGCGAGUAAUGCCUAGGUAUCUGCCCGGUCGUGGGGGAUAACGUCAGGAAACGGGCGCUAAUACCGCAUACUAUCAGAUGAGCCUAGGUCGGAUUAGCUAGUUGGUGGGGUAAAGGCCUACCAAGGCGACGAUCCGUAACUGGUCUGAGAGGAUGAUCAGUCACACUGGAACGGAGACACGGUCCAGACUCCUACGGGAGGCAGCAGUGGGGAAUAUUGGACAAUGGGCGAAAGCCUGAUCCAGCCAUGCCGCGUGUGUGAAGAAGGUCUUCGGAUUGUAAAGCUCUUUAAGUUGGGAGGCGGUACCAACAGAGUAAGCACCGGCUAACUUCGUGCCAGCAGCCGCGGUAAUUC
rnacentral:rRNA from 1 species